UCCCAUUGGCCCUAAGCGCCGCCCGGCAGCCCUGCGGUUGGCCAGGCCGGGCCUGUGGCGUCCAAUAGGCGGCGGCGCCGGCUUUCCCGCGGCUGUUCGCUGUUUCAGUGGGUCGUGGCGGUGGCGGUGGCGGCGGCGGCGGCGGUGGCGGUUAAGGGAUGUAACGGUCGCCCGGCUCCGGCGUGACGAUGGCGGCCGUAGGGUCUGGAGGCUGUGCGCGGAACGAUGCAGGGGAGAAGCUGCCCUCUGUCAUGGCGGGAGUUCCGGCGCGGAGGGGUCAGUCCUCCCCACCGCUUUGCCUCCGGCGGCGGACGCGACUCUCGACGGCCUCCGAGGAGACGGUGCAGAACCGGGUGUCACUCGAGAAGGUGCUUGGCAUCACAGCCCAGAACAGCAGUGGCCUAACCUGUGACCCUGGCACAGGCCAUGUGGCCUACCUGGCAGGCUGUGUGGUGGUGAUUUUAGACCCCAAGGAGAACAAGCAGCAGCACAUCUUUAACACUGCCAGGAAGUCUCUGAGUGCUCUGGCCUUCUCCCCUGAUGGGAAGUACAUAGUGACAGGGGAGAAUGGACAUAGGCCUGCUGUGCGCAUCUGGGAUGUGGAGGAGAAGAAUCAGGUGGCGGAGAUGCUAGGCCACAAGUAUGGUGUGGCCUGUGUGGCCUUCUCACCCAAUAUGAAGCACAUCGUGUCCAUGGGCUACCAACAUGAUAUGGUGCUCAACGUCUGGGACUGGAAGAAAGACAUCGUAGUGGCCUCCAACAAGGUAUCUUGUAGAGUCAUCGCCCUCUCCUUCUCAGAGGACAGCAGCUAUUUUGUCACUGUUGGGAACCGACAUGUGAGGUUCUGGUUCUUGGAAGUCUCCACUGAGACAAAGGUGACGAGCACAGUGCCCCUUGUAGGGCGCUCAGGCAUCCUGGGCGAGCUGCACAACAAUAUCUUCUGUGGUGUGGCCUGCGGUCGGGGCCGGAUGGCAGGCAGUACCUUCUGUGUGUCCUACUCAGGCCUCCUCUGCCAGUUCAAUGAGAAGAGGGUGCUGGAGAAGUGGAUCAACCUGAAGGUCUCCCUGUCUUCCUGCCUCUGUGUCAGCCAGGAGCUCAUCUUCUGUGGCUGCACAGAUGGGAUAGUCCGCAUCUUCCAGGCCCACAGCCUGCACUACCUCACCAACCUGCCCAAGCCACACUACCUUGGGGUAGAUGUGGCACAGGGCCUGGAGCCCAGCUUCCUCUUCCACAGGAAGGCAGAAGCAGUCUACCCAGAUACAGUGGCACUGACCUUCGACCCCAUCCACCAGUGGCUGUCCUGCGUGUAUAAGGACCACAGCAUCUACAUCUGGGAUGUCAAGGACAUCAACAGAGUGGGCAAGGUGUGGUCAGAGCUCUUCCACAGCUCCUACGUUUGGAACGUGGAGGUGUAUCCUGAGUUUGAAGACCAGAGAGCUUGUUUGCCGUCAGGAUCCUUUCUGACUUGUUCUUCAGACAACACCAUUCGCUUCUGGAACUUGGACAGCAGCCCUGAUUCUCACUGGCAGAAAAACAUCUUCAGCAAUACCCUGCUGAAGGUCGUGUAUGUGGAGAAUGACAUCCAGCACCUGCAGGACAUGUCACACUUCCCAGACCGGGGGAGUGAGAAUGGGACGCCCGUGGACGUGAAAGCCGGGGUGCGGGUCAUGCAGGUCAGUCCUGACGGCCAGCAUUUGGCUUCAGGCGACCGAAGUGGAAAUUUGAGGAUCCACGAGCUGCACUUCAUGGACGAGCUGGUCAAGGUGGAGGCCCAUGAUGCUGAGGUGCUGUGCCUGGAGUACUCCAAGCCAGAGACAGGGCUGACCUUGCUGGCCUCAGCCAGUCGGGACCGGCUGAUCCAUGUGCUGAACGUGGAGAAGAACUACAACCUGGAGCAGACGCUGGAUGACCACUCCUCCUCCAUCACUGCCAUCAAGUUCGCUGGCAACAGAGACAUCCAGAUGAUCAGCUGUGGGGCUGACAAGAGCAUCUACUUUCGCAGUGCCCAGCGGGGUUCAGAUGGACUACACUUUGUCCGUACCCACCACGUAGCAGAGAAAACCACCUUGUAUGACAUGGACAUUGACAUCACCCAGAAGUACGUGGCCGUGGCCUGCCAGGACCGCAAUGUGAGAGUCUACAACACUGUGAACGGGAAGCAGAAGAAGUGCUACAAGGGUUCCCAGGGUGACGAAGGGUCCUUGCUGAAGGUCCAUGUGGACCCCUCAGGCACCUUCCUGGCCACCAGCUGCUCUGACAAAAGCAUCUCAGUGAUUGACUUUUACUCGGGCGAGUGCAUUGCCAAGAUGUUUGGCCAUUCAGAAAUUAUUACCAGCAUGAAGUUCACCUAUGACUGUCAUCACUUGAUCACAGUAUCUGGAGACAGCUGUGUGUUCAUCUGGCACCUGGGCCCGGAGAUCACCAACUGCAUGAAGCAGCACUUGCUGGAGAUCGACCACCAGGAGCAGCAGCAGCACACAAAGGACAGGAAGCAGAACGGCCACCCCAGGCAGGAUACGUAUGUGUCCACACCUAGUGAGAUUCGCUCCCUGAGCCCUGGAGAGCAGACAGAGGAUGAUCUGGAGGAAGAGUGUGAGCCAGAAGAGAUGCUGAAGACACCAUCCAAAGACAGCUUGGAUCCAGAUCCUCGAUGCCUGCUAACCAACGGCAAGCUGCCACUGUGGGCAAAGCGGCUGCUAGGGGACGAUGAUGUGGCAGAUGGCUCGGCCUUCCAUGCCAAGCGCAGCUACCAGCCCCACGGCCGUUGGGCAGAGCGGGCUGGCCAAGAGCCCCUCAAGACCAUCCUGGAUGCCCAGGACCUGGAUUGCUACUUUACCCCCAUGAAGCCUGAGAGUCUGGAGAACUCCAUUCUGGAUUCACUGGAGCCACAGAGCCUGGCCAGCCUGCUGAGUGAGUCAGAGAGUCCUCAGGAAGCUGGCCGCGGGCACCCCUCCUUCCUCCCCCAACAGAGGGAAUCAUCUGAGGCCAGUGAGCUCAUCCUCUACUCUCUGGAGGCAGAAGUGACACUCACAGGGACAGACAGCCAGUAUUGUGGGAAGGAGGUGGAGGCCAGGCCUGGAGACCAGCAGGGCGACUCCUACCUCAGGGUGUCCUCCGACAGCCCAAAGGACCAGAGCCCGCCUGAGGACUCGGGGGAAUCAGAGGCCGACUUGGAGUGCAGCUUUGCGGCGGUCCACUCCCCAGCUCUGCCUCCUGACCCCGCCCCUCGGUUUGCCACGUUGCUGCCCCAUUUCCCAGGAUGCGCAGGUCCCACAGAAGAUGAGCUGUCCCUGCCCGAGGGACCCAGCGUCCCCAGCAGCUCCCUACCCCAGACUCCGGAGCAGGAGAAGUUCCUCCGCCACCAUUUCGAGACACUGACUGAGUCCCCCUGCAGAGGUAGGACCCUGCCUCACCCGCACCUGCCAAGGCCGUCUGUGCAGCCUGGGCACAGCAUUGGUGUCCCUGGAGUCGGCUCCCCAGCAGGGCCAGGAGGAGCUCUUCCCCGCAGCUCUGGGAGACGUGGAGGCCUCUGAAGCUGAGGAGUACUUCUUCAACCCACGCCUGAGCAUCUCCACGCAGUUCCUCUCAAGCCUCCAGAAGGCAUCCAGGUUCACCCACACCCUCCCUCCCCGGGCAACCCAGCACCUCAUGAAGUCUCCAGAGGUCAAGCCCAUGGACCAAGUUGGAAGCCAGCCCAGAGCAGAUACUGGCUAUGCCUCUCCAGACAGGACCCACGUCCUCGCUGCAGGGAAGGCUGAAGAGACCCUGGAGGCCUGGCACCCACCACCCCCCUGCCUUACAAGCCUGGCGUCCUGUGUCCCUGCCUCCUCCGUGCUGCCCACGGACAGGAAGCUCCCAACGCCCACAUCUGCGUCCACCCCAGGCCUGGCUCAGGGUGUCCACACCCCCUCCACCUGUUCCUACAUGGAGGCCACUGCCAGCUCCCAUGCCAGGAUAUCACGCAGCAUCUCCGUUGGUGACAGCGAGGGCCCUAUCGUGGCCACGCUGGCCCAGCCCCUCCGUAGGCCAUCGUCUGUUGGGGAGCUGGCCUCUCUGGGCCAGGAGCUUCAGGCCAUCACCGCUGCAGCAACACCCAAUUUGGGCAGCGAGGGCCAAGAGCCUGCCCUGCAUUCCUGGGGCAACCACGAGGCCCGGGCCAACCUUAGACUGACCCUGUCAAGUGUCUGUAACGGGCUCCUGCUGCCCCCCGUGGAUGCCCAGCCUGGCGUCACCAUCCCAGCAGUGAGCUUCCCAGCCCCUAGCCCCGUGGACGAGAGCACCCUGAGGCUCCAUGGCUCUGCCUUUCGCCCAAGUCUCCCAGCUCCUGAGUCCCCUGGCCUUCCUGCCCACCCCAGUAGCCCCCAGCUUCCAGAGGCCGGGACUGGCGUCCCUGGCGGCACUGCCUCCCUCCUGGAGCCCACCUCUGGUGCACUCGGUCUAUUCCAGGGCAGCCCUGCCCACUGGAGUGAGCCCUGGGUGCCGGCUGAAGCUCUGCCCCCAUCCCCCCUUGAGCUGAACAGGGUGGGGAACAUCUUGCACAGGCUGCAGACCACUUUCCAAGAAGCCCUCGACCUUUACCGUGUGGUGAUCUCCAGUGGCCAGGUGGACACCAGGCAGCAGCAGGCACGGACUGAGCUGGUCUCCACUUUCCUGUGGAUCCACAGUCAGCUGGAGGCCGAAUGCUUGGUGGGGACCAGUGUGGCCCCAGCCCAGACCCUGCCCAGCCCAGGACCCCCCUCCCCACCGACGCUGUGCCCUCUGGCCAGCCCAGACCUGCAGGCCCUGCUGGAACACUACUCGGAGCUGCUGGUGCAGGCUGUGCGGAGGAAGGCACGGGGACACUGAGGGUGCAGCCCCUCCACCGCAGCCCUGCUGCUUCUAAGGACUUAGGUAUUUUAAGCGAAUAAACUGACAGCUUGGAGGAA